AAAAGCGUCUCAAAACACGUCUUUGCGAAUUCUUCUCGCAGUUUCGUCUCCCCAUUUUUUUCUACAUUGCAAAGCAACGGAGAUUAAACAAAAAAAAAGCAUGUUCGUUCAGUGAGCUCUUGCAUAUUUAAUAAUAAUGUUGCUGAAUGAAUGGAACCCUUAUUCAAAAGCAUAACAACUCGGAGGAUAAAUUGAUGCGGUAUACGUUGAGAAUGGGGCAAGACUUCGUUCCUUAACAUUUCCAUCACCUGGCAAUCGACCGCUUCGUCCGCUUGUAUCUCUUCCAAUCCACGUUCGACCUUUAUUGGACUAAAUCGAAAUAAAUUGUAUGAGGCGUUAGCUGUUACGAAA